CUUGCCCAGUGGUAGAGGGCCGGUGUGCAGAAGGGCCCCACACUCAAUGUUUGGCUGUCCCCGGUCUUAAAAUUCUUAGUCAUUCUUGAACAAGGGAACCCAUAUUUUCAUUUUGUUCUAGGCUCUGAGAGUUACAUAAUUGAUUCUGACUUUGGCUGUUGGUCAACAGUGUCAUAAGGUAAAAUAAGGCUGUUGUAGAAUCUGCUCAGCCAGGGAGGGGAAAGGAGUCGGCAAUCAGGUCUCCUCCUGGGCACCUUUGUGAGGCCAGCUGGCGAGAGUGGGGGGUGACACUGAGGUCCCAGCAGCUCCAAAUGCAGGCAGAGCCCUGUCCUCAGAGAAGGUCACAGCCUAGCCAAGCCCAGCCAGGUGGAUGGGCCCACGGAACGCACAGGAACCUGGAACGGAGGUUGAAAGCAGGAAGCACAGUCUGUGACUCCCCAGCCCACUCUGCAUUCGACCACUUGGGGCCCAGAAGCUUCAGGAAAGGUGCACAAGGUCACUGGGUCCCAGUACUCCCAACAGGAAGGUCUGGUCCAGGGACAGGGCUCUUCCCGACUCCCCUUAGCCACACGCACCAGAAGUUCUGCAGUGCCCAGUGGGCAUAGCAGUCCCCAAGAAUGACCCAGCACUGAAGCUGAGCCAAAGAACUUGGGGAGCGAGCCACACCCCCUCACUCCCUCUUCGCCUGCUCCAGACUUGCCAGGCGGUUGCUUUUCGUGGGAACCGGGAUGUCCUCACCACCCUGUCCAGGGCCCAGCCCCAUGUCCCUGGCCUGCUACAGCUGGAAAAAAAAAAGA
rnacentral:lncRNA from 1 species